UACAGAGGGUGCAAGCGUUAAUCGGAAUUACUGGGCGUAAAGCGCGCGUAGGUGGUUAGUUAAGUUGGAUGUGAAAUCCCCGGGCUCAACCUGGGAACUGCAUUCAAAACUGACUGACUAGAGUAUGGUAGAGGGUGGUGGAAUUUCCUGUGUAGCGGUGAAAUGCGUAGAUAUAGGAAGGAACACCAGUGGCGAAGGCGACCACCUGGACUGAUACUGACACUGAGGUGCGAAAGCGUGGGGAGCAAACAGG
rnacentral:rRNA from 3 species